GUACCGAAAACUUUUCACUUUUCGGAACUAAACAAGGCCUAGCACGAUUGGAACACUGAAAUAGUAGCAAGUCAACAGACCAACACAGCAACACACGCACAGCCUCCUCUCUCUCUCUCUGCCUCUCAUCCAUGGCUCUCCUCUGUUCUUCACGCUGCAGCAACCCCGCUGCCCAAAUCCACUACCAGUACCAUGGAAGAAGAAUCUCACCUCUAAUCACUUCCAUCUAUUCUCUCCAUUGCCAUGGUGCUAUACCUGUCAUUUCCCCCUUCAUUUCGGACUCUUUGAGUCCUCUAUUUUGGGAUCUAGCUCUGCUGCUCGCUGUGGGAAUAAGCAUCGCCUGGUGGUGACCCAUGGCUAAUACCCCAAAUCAAGUCCCCAAAAGUUGUAGUUGCUAUCUAUCUAUUUCUCCCCUUCGAUUUUUUCUCUCUAAUGUGUGUAGGUUGGGGGGCCGGCGGCGACCUGCUCCAUCACGGUGCCGUGCUUGGCGGCCGUGAUGCCCAGGACAGGGCCAAGAAGACCCGUGUGUGCAGCACAAUGACUCCAAAGUCCGGCGACAACCUCCACAACCUGACAGUCUUAACUACUGAAAGGUUCCUUCUUCAAGAUGUGGUUGAUCCCCACCUGGCUACUUGUCUUGACUCUCUCCAUGGUCUCUUAUUGCUCAGGUCAUCAUGGUGUGCUGGUGUGAAUGGUUGAUAAAUUUUCACAGGCUAGGAUUAGAAGGGGUGCUCUUUUGUUCUUGCUGGGUCCUCCUGUUAUACUACUGCUACUACUACUCUUCUCCAUCCCUCGCUGCAGGCUGCGGUAGAUAUUUACCUCAACUUCCUAGUCUUGGUCAAGGUUCUGCAGUUUGCAUAGUGUGCUUGCCCAGCUGUUACUACUGGAUUGGCUGGCCUUCUUCUAGAAGGGUAUGGUAAGUACUCAGUUUUAUAAAACAAGUACCAACUUGGUGGAAUAGUAGCAGCAGUGAAAAAUACUACUACCAUGCAACUAGAAGUGGGAGAUAUUUUGUGAAGCCA